AUUGAACGCUGGCGGCAGGCCUAACACAUGCAAGUCGAGCGAGCGGCGGACGGGUGAGUAAUGUCUGGGAAACUGCUUGAUGGGGGUGGAUAACUACUGGAAACGGUAGCUAAUACUGCGUACCAUCAGGUGUGCCCCGAUGGGAUUAGCUAGUAGGUGGGGUAACGGCUCACUUAGGCGACGAUCCCUAGCUGGUCUGAGAGGAUGACCAGCCACACUGGAACUGAGACACGGUCCAGACUCCUACGGGAGGCAGCAGUGGGGAAUAUUGGACAAUGGGCGAAAGCCUGAUGCAGCCAUGCCGCGUGUGUGAAGAAGGCCUUCGGGUUGUAAAGCACUUUCAGCAGGAAAGCGGUACCCGCAGAAGAAGCACCGGCUAACUCCGUGCCAGCCGCCGCGGUAAUAC
rnacentral:rRNA from 1 species